CAAUAUAUGAGACCGGCGCACGGGUGCGUAACGCGUAUGCAACCUACCUUUUACAGGGGGAUAGCCCAGAGAAAUUUGGAUUAAUACCCCAUGGUAUAUUUUAGUGGCAUCACUAGAUUAUUAAAGUUCCAACGGUAAAAGAUGGGCAUGCGUCCUAUUAGCUAGAUGGUAAGGUAACGGCUUACCAUGGCUACGAUAGGUAGGGGUCCUGAGAGGGAGAUCCCCCACACUGGUACUGAGACACGGACCAGACUCCUACGGGAGGCAGCAGUGAGGAAUAUUGGACAAUGGGCGCAAGCCUGAUCCAGCCAUGCCGCGUGCAGGAAGAAGCAUCUAUGGUGUGUAAACUGCUUUUGUACAGGAAGAAACACUCCCUCGUGAGGGAGCUUGACGGUACUGUAAGAAUAAGGAUCGGCUAACUCCGUGCCAGCAGCCGCGGUAAUACGGAGGAUCCAAGCGUUAUCCGGAAUCAUUGGGUUUAAAGGGUCCGUAGGCGGUUUGGUAAGUCAGUGGUGAAAGCCCAUCGCUCAACGGUGGAACGGCCAUUGAUACUGCCAGACUUGAAUUACUGGGAAGUAACUA
rnacentral:rRNA from 1 species